rnacentral:rRNA from 1 species
CUACGGGGCGCAGCAGUGGGGAAUAUUGGACAAUGGGGGAAACCCUGAUCCAGCAAUGCCGCGUGUGUGAAGAAGGCCUGCGGGUUGUAAAGCACUUUCGGUUGGGAGGACUGCUUCUAGCACUAAUAUUGUUGGAAGUUGACGUUACCUUCAGAAGAAGCACCGGCUAACUCCGUGCCAGCAGCCGCGGUAAUACGGAGGGUGCAAGUGUUAAUCGGAAUUACUGGGCGUAAAGCGCGCGUAGGCGGCUAGAUCAGUCGGGUGUGAAAGCCCCGGGCUUAACCUGGGAACUGCAUCCGAUACUGUCUAGCUUGAGUACAGGAGAGGAGAGUGGAAUUCCACAUGUAGCGGUGAAAUGCGUAGAUGUGUGGAGGAACACCAAUGGCGAAGGCAGCUCUCUGGCCUGAUACUGACGCUGAGGUGCGAAAGCGUGGGGAGCAAACAGGAUUAGAUACCCCCGUAGUC